rnacentral:rRNA from 1 species
UACGUAGGGACCAAGCGUUGUCCGGAAUCAUUGGGCGUAAAGAGCUCGUAGGCGGUUUGUCGCGUCUGCCGUGAAAGUCCGGGGCUCAACUCCGGAUCUGCGGUGGGUACGGGCAGACUAGAGUGAUGUAGGGGAGACUGGAAUUCCUGGUGUAGCGGUGAAAUGCGCAGAUAUCAGGAGGAACACCGAUGGCGAAGGCAGGUCUCUGGGCAUUAACUGACGCUGAGGAGCGAAAGCAUGGGGAGCGAACAGG